GUGUUGGCUUCGACAUCACAUAUACUAAAUUUGGAACGAUACAGAGAAGAUUAGCAUGGCCCCUGGCGAAGGAUAAGUUUCCCAAGUUAAAAGAAAAGAGUACUAGUAAUUU